rnacentral:rRNA from 1 species
GGACUCAUGGGAGACUGCCGGGGUCAACUCGGAGGAAGGUGAGGACGACGUCAAAUCAUCAUGCCCCUUAUGUCUUGGGCUUCACGCAUGCUACAAUGGCCGGUACAAUGGGUUGCGAUACUGUGAGGUGGAGCUAAUCCCAAAAAGCCGGUCUCAGUUCGGAUUGGGGUCUGCAACUCGACCCCAUGAAGUCGGAGUCGCUAGUAAUCGCAGAUCAGCAACGCUGCGGUGAAUACGUUCCCGGGCCUUGUACACACCGCCCGUCAAGUCACGAAAGUUGGUAACACCCGAAGCCGGUGGCCUAACCCUUGUGGGGGGAGCCGU